AUAAAAAUCCUUGGAAAGGUUAUGCUAACUCUGCAAAAAACAAAUUGAAAAUGGCAAGAUUUCAGGCCCCAUAGUUCCUGGGUAGCACAGAUGUCUUUGGCCAAGGGUGGUGGGCUCUUUCUGCUUCUUCCCAUGUCAGCCUCCCCAGGCAGCUGAGACUCACAGGAAGCCUGACUCGACGUGUGAGGCUGUUAAUGAGACAAAUGCAAAGUGGUUUUGACCACUCAUCCAAGUCACCGUGGAAUCUAAUUAACAAGCGUGGUCUUGACCAGCACAUGAGCAUAAGAGUUCACAUGCAUGCUAACAUCGCCAGCGAGACCUUUUGGAGGAAAAGAGAGUCUCACCGAGUGACAGAAGUGGUCAUUUCACAGAGAGAAGCCGCCGGGUUGUUCUAAGGGAGCACAGGCAGGGACAUCUGUGCGGCCCGAGAGACCCAGACUUGACGCUUUCAAGUGAGCAACAAAGGACUCUCCAGCUUUCAAAAUGCAUUUCUUCUGUCUGGAGCUCUCUCCUAACUCAGGCCCAAGGUCAGAGGAAGGACGAAAUUACACAUGGAGUCACAAAAGAAUCUAUUAUGAGUGCUGCUACUUUUCUCCUUGGAGGUUAACUCCAGUUGGGAACCCUCUUCAUGGGAGAGCUUGGCAAAAACACAAAAUAGAAUCAACGGCAAUAGCCUCUGGAUUGCGCUUUCCCUGGGAAGGGGCUCUUGACAAACCCGUCCUGGGACACUCCACUGAGCAAGGCAUUUUUGCUCUUCUCCCCUCGUUCAUGAACGGGUUACGCUUCCCUGAGCUAUGACAAGCAGGCAUGUCACCUGCCCCUUGACCUAGAUCCUCAAGGUCCUUCUAGUGCCUCGACCAACAACGAUGAGCGUGGAGAACAUAAAGCUCCUGCCUUCUGGUGCCCCCCCUUCACCGUGCGGUCUUGAACAGCCACGGACUAACCUCGCCAGGCCUCUGCCCUGCCGGAUGUUUAUUUCCUCUUGAUUGGCCAACUACCUGCUGCUUCUAGGGGCCCGAUUUUCAUUAUUGUUCAAUAUUUAUUUGAGUGUCAACCCAAAGCAAAGUAUAGAACAUACGUUUAGAUAAUGGUUCUCCCCCUAAGGACGUGCAGGGUGAGGGGAAAGCAAAACGGUGAUUAAAGGAAUGCAGUGAUUGGAGGAUCAGGCAAGUGCCUGGUCCAUUCUAGUUCCCUUUCCCUAGAGGAACCUGCCAGACGCCUUCUUUCUUCACAGAUGUCCUCCUCCAUCCCCCACCCACCAGCCCAACCCUUUUUUUGCUCCCACAUCAGAUGUGCUUACAGACUUGAGGACUGGCUCCAGCUCUUCUGAAUCCCUGAACCAUAUGUUUAGAUUCUUUGUUUUGAAAAGCACUGGGUGGUUCUACAAGAGACAGAGAUUCAUACCCAAACUCUAUGGUAACAUUUACUGAGCAUCUGCUACAUGCAAAUAUGGUUCUCCAGACAAACAGAAGAUACAGAUAUAGACACACACAUGAUUCCUAAAAAAGAAUUGGUUUCCCAUAAUUAUGGAGGCUAACAAAUCCCACGAUCUGCUGUCUGCAAGCUGGAAACCCAGGAAAGCCAAUGGUGUAAACUCCACGCUAAGUCCAAAGGUCUUGCCAGGCUCUGGCUUUCUGGCCGCCGUUGCGUCUCCGCCUUAGAUUUGUCCCCCGCCACACCCACCUUUGCUGUGUCUUCAGCACAUGGCGGAAGUGGGUUCCCGGUUCUGCAGGACCCUCGUCCGGGUGAG